rfam:Triticum aestivum genome assembly, contig: Triticum_aestivum_CS42_TGACv1_scaffold_096483_2AL
AAAGUACUCCCUCCGUCCCAAAAUUAUUGUCUUAGAUUUGUCUAGAUACAGAUGUAUCAAGUCACAUUUUAGUAUUAGAUACACCAGUAUCUAGACAAAUCUAAGACAAGAAAUUUGGGACAGAGGGAGUAGAUG